UGGGGUGGCAAGUAACCCCAGACCAUGAGCAACAAUCUGUCGCAUUUUCCCAUGUUACGGUCUUUGGAACAACAUUCUCACAAAGAAAAUCAGAAUCAUUAUCACUGAAAGAGGUCUUGAAUUGGAGCAAGGCAGUUCUCUCAUGAAGAUGACAUAAGGAAUGGGAGGAUGAGAAGUGAAAGAGCAACGAAUGGCAACACAGAAAAAGCAACCACCCCACCCAUGACUCCAUUUGAAGUUGUGUUUAAGGAAAAGUGUUCACUUUGAUUUACUUAAAGCAAUGAAAGAUGAAGAUUUAUAGCCAAAAUAAAAUAGGAUAUGAACAUGAACACUCACAUUCUAAUCCUUUCAUUAAUGUUCCGGCAAAAACGGGGCCAUAUGAAUUGAUAUUUCAUCUUCAAAAUGGAAAACACAUUGGACUUGGGUUUACUAUUCCAACUGCAAGCAUUAAAGAGAUCACAUAACAGAUAAAUAUUUUAAAUAAACAAAAUGAGUUUAAUAUCACAUCAUUUUGUAAGAAUUAGCUACAAAAUCACUUAUUUUAUUUUUUUAUAAAAUUAAUAAAAUAAAAACUUUUCAUCAUAAAAUGCAUGAAAAAACAUGGAUAAUAAAAUUUUUAAAAUGAUGAUAAUUGAACGGUGAAAAGUGUAAUUAAGUAAAUAUUGUAUUCUUCCUUGUAAUCUUUAUCGUGAACAAAAUGCUAUUAUUUUUAUCUUUUUAGAUACAUUUUCUAUUUCUUUUUUUACCAUUUUUAAUUUUUGCAUAUUAUUUAUUUUUCAUCUGUUAACCAUAUAAAGAAUACCAUUUAAAAAAAAAAAAUUAAAGAUAUUGAUUUUAUUUUAUCUUCUUAGUAUAGUUUUAUAGGAUAUGUCGUGUGUUUUAGUUGAGUGUGUGGACUCAAACACUUGAAUUUUAAUACAUUGGGCCCUUUUCACUUUUCUGAACCAAAAGCCAAUGACCCCUUUUGUGAUUAAUAACUUUUAUGAAAGAUGAAGCUUCAAGAAUUAAGAGAAGGAAAUUAAUAACUUUUAAUUAGUUAGCAUUUUGUGUUAAUGGUUUCAUUUAUUUCAAAUUAAAAAAUGAAUUAGUUAAGUUGAGUACAUAAGGAACUUUUACUUGGAGAGUUGAAACUGAUGGUAAGAUAGAUAGAAAAUUAAACACUACAUUAGAAGAAGGAGGAGCAAAUAUAUGUCAAAAUAUACAACAACUUUUAAUUUAACCAAUAGUGACAAUUUAAUUCAAUAUUUUUUAGUGCUUAUGAUCUAUCUUUUAUCUUUUUUUAAGACUUUUGUGGGUGAUAUUUUUAUUAAGUUGAUUUUUGUGACUUGACUGAAAUUUUUUUGAAGAACUUCGAAUAACUACAAGACUGAGAUAAAAGAUAAGAACAGAUAUAUUAAAUAAUUUGUAAUAAAAUUUGUGAUACUUGAUUUGUUUUGGAAUUAGAUUGUUUUGAAAUUUUUAAAAUAAGUUUAUUUUGUUUUAAAAAUAUCUUAAUAAUGUAUUUAUAUUAUUAUCGUCUUUACUUGAAAUUUUUCUGAUCGUAUUAGUAGUGUUGAUAUGAACUUACUUUUGUGAGUUUGAAACUAAAGAAUAUAUAAAAUUUAGGAUCUUUAUGAGAUUGAAGAAAAAAAUAAAAUGUAACAUACUAAAUAUUUUUUAAUAUUGUUUGUGAUUAAAACUCAUAUACAGAAUAAAGAAUAUUUUGUACAUAUAUGUGUUUCAAUGUAUACAUAAUUAAUAAGCAUCAAACUCAUUCAAAAAGUCUACUCAUGCAUUCAUAUUCAUAUUGUGUUACACAUUGUACAUAAUAUAAACCUUCAAACAUACAUGCAUUCAAAUUCAUAUUGUGUUACACUUCAUAUUCAAAUUGUUUUUAUAUAUGAUAUAUGAAAUUACAAAUGUUAGUUGCUUAAUUUAAAUGUCUUUUUAUCAUUUUUUACUGAAAGUUAUUAAAACAGGUUUUAUUUAUCAUUCUUUUUAUUGAUAAUUAUUAAGAACAAAUUUUAUUAAAUUACGAGAUUGUACAAAUUAGUGGAUAACUACAAAAUAUUUAUACGUCACUUAAAAGUCAUAUAUUAUAUUUUACAAUUUAUUAGAAAAAUGGCAAUUAGAAACAUCCUACAUUAACAAAACAAUGGGAUUAUGUAUUUAUAGUAUGAAAAUGAUUGGAAUGAAUCAUUUUGUAUAUAAAAUAAUUGAAACCAAUUUCGUAUUAGAGUAUAGAGAAAAAACAUAUUUAACCCUAUAUUAAAGCAUAGGAGUUGGUCGAACCUUUGGUUUGUAUGACGAUGAUUUCUUGAAUUAUUUUUUAGCUCAGAUUGUAUGGGUUGAGUUAGGAUUGUUUAGUAAUUCUAGGCGUCUGGCGGUGUGCGUGUUGAGAUGGAGUGUCUUAGGUAUUUUAUGUUUGUAUAAGGGUUGAAUCACUCCUGAAGUGGUUCACAUUUAUUUAUUUUUUAUUGUCGAUAAAAAAAAGUAUAGGAGUUGGUGAUGUAUUCAAAUAAGACCAUUUUAUACUUUGUAACAACAAAAUCUAUGACGAUAUGCGAAACCGUCAUAUACAAAUACGUUUGUAACUCAUUAUGUACAAUAAAAAUUAUCAUUUUAAACACAAUUUUUGGGAGUGCACACUACUAGAACAUCAUUGAAUAGAAAUCAAUUUUAAAGACAAAAAUAAUUAGUUAUUAUAGUGACUAAAUUAGAAACCAUUUUAGAUACUAAAAAAAUUAUUGGUUUCUAAAUUAGUUUCUACUAUUAAUAAAAUCUAUGACAAUAUGUAAAUACAUCAUUUUAAAUACAAUUUUUUUGUAACGUAUAUACAAAGUAUAUUAUAUUGAAAAAAGUUAUAAUAAGAAAUUUAACAACAAUUUAUCAUUUUUUAUAUUUAAAUUUAAAGUUUAUAUAAUGUAUUAAAUUACAAAUGUUAUAAUUAUUCAAGUAUAAACAGUUUUUAUAUAUUGUAACGAUAAAAUCUAUAACAAUAUACGAAACCAUCGUAUACAAAAACGUUUAUAAAUGAUGUAUACAAUUAAAAUUUAUCUUAAACAGAUUUUUGUAGUAUAUAUGCAAAGUAUACUAUAGUAAAAUGAUUAUAAUAAUAAAUUAAAGGGUAGUUUACCAAUCUUAUGUUAAAAUUUAUUGACUAAAGAUGCAAAACGAGAUGGGUAAUUUAAUUUACCUAUAAAAGUGCAACAAUUUUUUGACUUAACCACAAUAUAUCAAUAUACAAGAGAUUAAGAAACAUAGUUAAUAAAAAUAACUACAUAUUAUUCUUCUGUUAGAUUAUGUGACCAUCACUUGGAUUUUUAAUUUCUAAUAAGAAAAUUCUUCUUCCAUUUUCAUAUGUGUUAAAUAAUUUUAAAUAAAAUAUAACUUUAUACUUUUAAAUAAUUAUGUGUUUUUAUAUCUUUCUUUCACCCGUAAUAUUUGAGAGUAGUUAAUUAUUUAAAAAAGUGUGUGAGGGUUAAUAAGAAGAUUUAUUAUGAAGGUUUGCUAAAGAGUUUAUAAGUCUACGAGUUAAAAUAAGAGUGUCUUUUAUCAUUUCAAUGUCUCAAUGUGUUUUAUAUACUAAAACGUUUAUUUCUAUAAUGAGAAUGUAAUAUUUUUUAGAGAAAAAUUUCUUUGACACAAUAAAUAGUAAAAAAAAUAUAUUUAAUAUUGCUUAUAAUAAUAUAAAUAAUAUUUUAAAUUAAAAAAUAAAAUAAAAUAAAAUAAAAAUAAAUAAAAUAUUAAUUUAUUUUACAUUUGAUAUAUCAUCUCAAUAUUACGACUUGAUUGAAAGGUUAGAUGUGUCACGAGAAAAUGAGUUUAUUCCUUUUGCAAACAAAAUUUGAAGAUGCAAACAAAGGAAAUGUAGUAACAAAAGUAGAACACAUUUAUUUCACAACUAAACAUUGAUCAAACCUCUCAUACAAUAUGAUGUGAUAAGAUUCUUGAUUUACAUUGAAAUUGAACAAAAACAAGUGCAUGGAACAUUCUCCACUAAUUUAUUCUGCUACAAUUCUCAUGACGUCCUUUUCCCCUUUAUAUUAAAACCACCUCACAAGCCAUUCAAGUUUUCCUAUAAUACAAAAGUCUGAGGCCAAUUCCAAAUAUCAUUCCACAUCCAUAUCCUAUAACCACUGGUUCCCAUCCAAAUCCAAAUCUCUCUUCUCCCAAUAAGCUCGGAGAAGAUGGAGGUUUUUGUUCAGUGUUGUUGCAACUCAUUGACAAUGGGAACCCACAUAAUCCCGAGUUUCCUAGGUAGGAGUCAUUUGAAAAAGUCGCAAACUGUUUUCCUUGAGGUAUUUCUCCCACAAGCUGGUUAUUGGAAAGAUUCAGGACUUCAAGAUAGUUCAGAUUGGUUAAUUCUGUUGGAAUCCUACCAGUAAACAUAUUUGAGGAGAGAUCCAUUGAUUCUAAAUUUGUCAAAUAUCCAAUGGAUUUGGGAAUAAGACCACUUAAUCUGUUAUGGGAAAAAUUGAGUCCUCUAAGAGCAUGAAGCUCUCCAAUUACAUAUGGAAUUUGUCCUUGAAAUUUGUUUUGGGAUAAAUCAAUGGUUACAAAGUUUUUCGGAAUUUGUUUCAAUGUCAUACUUAUCGCUUUUGUUGUUACAGUUACAUAUCCAAUUGUACCUCUUUGGGACCCAUUAUAUGGCAUAUAUGUAAUGCCAAUGUAUAGCUCAUCCCCUUCAUAUGAAAUGACAUUCUUCAUGGCUUUAAAAUUUUGUAUAUAGGUUUUUGGUAUUGGACCAUUGAAAUAGUUGGAUGAGAUAUCAAAAAUAACUAUACUUGAAAAUUCAUACUGCGUCUCUAAAUCGUCAAUGGGACCGUACAAUUUGUUGGAUCGCAAAACCAAUACUGUCAACAUUGGUAGAGUUUGAAGCCAAUGGGGAAAUUUAUCCUCAAUUUGAUUGUUGCCAAGAUUCAAGAUCUCCAACUGUGUGCAAUUGGACAAAGAUUUUGGCAAAGGACCUUCCAAUUGGUUGUCAUUAACAUUAAAAUAAGCGAGCUCACUAUUCAUUGAGAAGUUAUUUGGUAAAGUGCCAUUUAGUUUGUUCCUCUGUAGAUCCAAAAUAUAAAGGCCCCACAAGUUUGCAAGGCAUGGUGGAAUGACGCCUGUCAACUUAUUGUGGGACAAGAUGAGAACUUGAAGAUUACUUGCAUUACAAAUUGAGGAAGACAUGUCACCAGUGAGUAAAUUGAAACUAAUAUCAAGGAUAUUGAGGUUGUAGUUCCUUGAGAAUUGGUUUAUUGGAGUUGUCAACAAGUUGUGGGAUAGGCUCAAAAAUUGUAAUGAACCCAUUUCAUGUAACCACUUGGGCAUUGUUCCAUUCAAUUUGUUGUUGGAUAGAUCAAGCUCUAUCAAAAUUGGGAUUUUUCCUAGUAAUUUUGGAAAUUCAGUUAAACCCACAGAAGAUAAAUACAAUCUCUCUAAGAGAGGAGCAUUGGUGAAAAUUGUAUAGUUAUGAAGACCAUUGAAGUUGUUUGAUGAUAGACAUAAGUGAGUUAGGUUUACAAGGGUGAAGACUGAUUGUGGAAUAUUGCCAUGUAGCUUGUUGUAGCACAAAUAUAGAGACUUCAAGGAUUGAGAUGAGAUUGAAGGUAUAUGGCCUGUGAACUGAUUCUCUGAUAGAUCCAAUUCUUGCAAAAAUGGCAAAGAUAAACACCAAGUAGGAAUUGUCCCAUUUAGUAAGUUGUCUGUGAAGAAUAAAAAAGUUAGAUUUGAAAGCCCUGUUAUUUUGUUUGGUAGAGGGCCCUCCAAUCUAUUCUCUGAAAGAUCCAAGUGAAGAAGAUGUUGAAGAUUUGAAAGUGAGGAUGGAAUUUGGCCACUGAAUCGAUUGUAUCCAAGAUCCAAAAAUGUAAGAUGUGGAAGGGUUAAGAUUGAGGAUGGGAUUGAACCCUUGAGAUAGUUACUUGAGAGAUCGAGGAACGUAAUAUGUGUGAAGUUGGAGAAAGAGGCAGGGAUUGUCCCCUCCAACAUGUUCCUUGAAAGAUCCAACAUAGUGAGAGAAGCAGCACUGCAACUCAAGUUAGGAAACUGCUCAAGACUAUUAUCUGACAACCAUAAGUGUUUAAGUUUUGGUAAACAUAAGAUGUCAGUUUUCAAGUUUUCCUGAACUCCGGUGUAUUUAAGACUAAGAUUAACCAAAGAGGUAGAUAGAUUGAGUGACCUCAUCGAACUAAAAGUCAUAUUUACACCAUCCAAAAUAAGCUCCGCUAAAACUGUUGCAUUUUGAAGGAACUUCUUCCAACUGUUUUCUUUCCACAUUAACCUAGUAAAAGAGAGAUCAAGUGAUUCCAAUUUGGAAAGUUGUGAGAUUUGGGAGGGAAUUUCACUUCGAAAUUCAUAGUUAGAUAUAUUGAGGUGUGUGAGGUUCACAUACCCAACAGAAGGAAAUGAUAAUUGAGAGGAGUAAAAGUAAUUGAAAGUAAGAUUAAGUGAUUGAAGAUGAGAAAGACGGAAAAGAGAAGUGUUUGGAUGGAUUUCACCUGAAAGACGAUUGCAAGCGAGGUCAAGGCCUAUGACGUGACCAGAGAUGGGAUGGCAAAGAACCCCAGACCAUGAACAACAAUCUGUUCCAUUUUCCCAGGUUGACAUCUUUGGAACAAAAUUAUCACAAUCAGAAUAAUAAUAGUCAUGAACAUAAGCAAGAGAGUUCUUGAAUUGGAGCAACGCAAUUUUGUCGUGAAGAUGACAUAAGGAAUGAGAGAAUGAGAAGAGAAAGAGAAACCAAUGGGAACAUAAAAGAAGAAACCAACCCACCCAUGACUCCAUUUGAAAGUGUAUUUAAUGAAAAGUGUUAAGUGUGAUUUAAUUAAAGGAAUGAAAGAUGAAGAUUUAUAGCCAAAAUAAAAUAGGAUAUGAAGAUGAACACGGCAUCACUCAGCUUAUAAUAUUUUCAUUAAUGUUUCAAUUUCCAAAUUGCCUUGAAAGACGGGGCAUAUGGGUUGAUUUUCAUCUUCAAAUAAUGUAUUAUACUUUUCCACCAAAAUGGAAUUGACUUUAAGUCAAUGCCCCAAAAAUUGGGACUUGGGUUUACUAUUCUUCGUGUUUCGUGUUUCUUGGGUUUAACGGUAAAAAGUGGAAUUAAGUAAAUAUUGUAUUCUUCCUUACAAUCUUUAUCGUGAACAAAAUGCUAUUAUUUUUAUCUUUUAGAUACAUUUUCUAUUUCUUUUUGUAGCAUUUUUUAAUUUUUUUCAUAUUUUUUUCAUCUGCUAACCAUAUAAAGAAUACCAUUUUAAAACAAAAUUAAAGAUAUUGAUUUUAUUUUAUUUUCUUAGUAUAGUUUUCUAGGUUAUAAUGUGUAUUUUAGUUGAGUGUGUAGACUCAAACGCUUUAAUUUUAAUUCAUACAUCACAAUGAAUUUUUAAUGAGACCUUUAAUUAGUUAGCCUUUUGUGUUAAUGGUUUCAUUUAUCUGAAAAUUUAAAAAAUGAAUUAGUUAAAAAUAACACUACAUAUUAAAGAACUUUUACUUGGAGAGUUGAAAUUGAUGGUAUGAUAGAUAGAAAAAUAAACACUACAUUAGAAAACUUAUAUUUAAAAAUAUACAACAACUUUUAAUUUAACCAAUAGUGACAAUUUAAUUCAAUAUUUUUUAGUGCUUAUGAUCUAUCUUUUAUCUUUCUAUUCAAGAAUUUCAAGUUUCAGACUGAAUUGCAGGUAAAUGUUUAGUAUCUUUGGAAGGCUGAAAUAAAUGUUAAGAGUUAAAGUACUAACUAUUUUUUAAAAUAGCUUGUGAUUCUUAUAAUUUUUUUUUAUAAAUUUGAUGAUUAUGAAUUUUUUAAUAUAGGUUUAUUUUAUUUUAAAUAUAUAAGUAAUGUAUUUAUAUUAAAAUUUUGUGGUGAUAUUUAUAUUAACAUGUUUUUGUUAGUUUAAGACUAAAAUAAAUGUAAGAGUUUUGGUCUUCUUACCAACUAAAAAAGUAUGAAUAAACGUACUAACAAUUUUUUAUUUCUUUCAUGAUUUCGGAAUUGGAUGGUUUUUUUUUUAAUAUAUGUUUAUUUUGUUUUUAAAAAUAUUUCAAUAAUGUAUAUACAUUAUUGUUGUCUUUAUUAAGACUUUUGUGGAUGAUAUUAAUUUGUUGUUGUGAGUUUGAAACUAAAGAAUAUAUAAAUAUCUUUCAAUAUUGUUUGUGAUUAAAACUCAUACAAAACAAAUAAAAUUUUGUAUAAAUUUAUGUAAAUGUAUACAUAAUUAGUAAUCAUUAAACUCAUUCAAAAAGUCUACUGAUACAUUCACAUUGUAGACAAUAUAAACCUUCAAACAUACAUGCUAAUAUCAUUAUAACAUAAUAUAAAAUAUUUGUUGCCUCUAUUUGGACUUUUGUGGUAGUGUUUAUCCUGACCUACAUGUAUGAGUUGUUUGUGAUUUUUUGCAUUUUUUUAAAAUUCAUGAUUCUUUUAGUUUUUAAUAUAGAUUUAUUUAUUUUAUUUACAAUAUAUUUGCCUUUACUUGAAUUUUUGUGUUAUCAUUGAUUAUGUUAACAAGCUUUAUGAAUUUGAGACUAAAACAAAUGUUAAGAAAUUAGGGUUUUAGUAAAACUGAAGCAUAAGAUAAAAAAAACUAACAAACUAAUUGUUUUUUAAUACUGUUUGUAACAGCGUAAAAAGAUAAAAGCAGAGCCACACCCCUCUCCCCACACAGUGCCUUUUAUUUUCUUUUUCUUUUUCUCUCUUCAUAUUCUUUUCUCUUCCUCUUUUUUAAUUUUCUCUCCCAAUAUUCAUCUAUUUUAGAAUCUAAUCGGACCACGUUGUAGCUGACGAGUUAAGGAACAUUUCUACCCUAUCAGAUUUUCAAACAGAGUAAGUUCAUUUUUGCUCUAAAGUUCCUUUGUUCUUUAUUUUUCCUUAAGAUUUAGUCAUCAAUCUUGGUGGGGUCAGUUGAGAAGUUUAAUCCUCUCAACUUAUUCUACUAUAUACUGAAUUUUUGUUCUGUUUGGAUAACUUGCAUUAGGCCCGUAAAUCUUGAAGUUUAUCGACGGUGGGAAAUAAAAUUCUAAAAGUUGCUUGAGGUAAGGGAAGCUAAAUUUAAUUUUUAAUAGCACCCUAGGAUAGAAGAUAUGAAUGCGAAAAGGACGUGGUCCCAAUAUUCAAUUUUUCUUGCAGGGAUGUUGUGUGUUAUAUAUAUUGGGUUGUUUGUUUAUAUAUUAUUUAAAUUUGUGGAAAUAUUAGGUUUUGAUGAUUUAGUAUUAAAGUGUUAUUUUUUUUAUGUCAAAUAGACUUUUGAAUAUUGUGGAUUACUUUUGAAAUGAUAUUGUAUGACGGAAUGGUAUGGAAUUGAAUUCAUACAUUUGGGAUAAUGUAUGGACUGAUGUUUGUUGUGUAUUAAGUAUUGAUGCCUAUGUGGUAACAGAGAUCUCCGAGCUUCACUGAUGAUCUAAGUCACAUAGAUUAAGACAUCAGGUGGUGAGAAGCUGAUGGGGGAGUUCAUGCACACCGUGACAUAUGAGAUGUACGACUUUGGUUGUAUUGAACUUACCCUGAUCUUUUCUGUUGGAUUCGCUGAUAAUCUUUGGAUCAGGUGUUAGUCUCUGGUAGGACUGACUUAAUACGGAUCUUCCGGAAGACGUUGUUUGUUGAAUAUUCUGGAUGUGUAGAUCCAUGUGAGAUCUAUGUGAUUGUUUUAUGUUGGAAUUUGAAGAAGAUUGAAUAAUUGAGAAAUUGACCAUGUAAUUUGAUUUUCUCUUUUAAUUUAAUUUCAUAUAUUAUAAAAUUUUAUUUUCACUAGCUUACCCUUGCUUUUUGUGUUGUGUUUAAACUGCGAUGACUGUACUAUGUACACGAGCAGAUGACCAUACAGGUGCAGGAAAGUCUUAGAGGUUUCAGAGUUUUAUUUUUAGCUAUGAAUAUGUAAAUAUUUGUAUUUCUAUAAAUCCUAAUAAUGUAUUAGGAAUGUUUUGAAAAACUUCAAAUUUGUAUAGAAAUACGUAGAACUUGUAUUGUAAUAGUUAGAUAUUAUUUUCUGGGGUGUUACACUGUUUAUGUGUUUCUUCCGUUCUUUCAAAUUUGGAUCAUUCUUGAUUUUUUAAUAUAUAUUUAUUUUAUUUUAAAAAUAUCUGAUUAAUGUAUUUAUAUUAUUUUUGUCAUUUUAGGACUUUUGUGUCCAACAUAGGAAUUGAGUUGGAGUCGGUGCCGACAAAAAUGAGAAACAUGCCAGAUAAAUAUUUUAAAUAAACAAAAUGAGUUUAAUAUGACAUCAUUUUGCAGUAAUUAGCUACAAAAUCACUUAUUUUAUCUGUUUAUAAAUAAAAAAAUAAAAAAAUUUCAUGAUAAAAUGCAUGAAUACAUGGAUGAUAAAAUUUGUCAAAUGAUGAUAAUUUAACGGUAAAAUGUGUAAUUUAGUAAAUAUGUUAUUCUUUCUUAUAAUCUUUAUCGUCAACAAAAUGUUAUUAUUUUUAUCUUUUCAAAUACUUUUUCUAUUCUUUUUAGCAUUUUUAAUUUUUUAAUAUUAUUUAUUUAUUUGUCAUCUGUUAAUCAAAUAAAUACUACUAUAGUUAAAAACAAAUAUAGAUAUUGAUUUGAUUAUAAAUUGUUUAAGAAUUAAAAGGUAUUUACCAAACUUGUUGAAGAGAAUCAACUUAAUUAUAAGUACUUAUGUACGAGCUGACAAUAAAAAUAAAUAAAUAAAUAUAUUUACUACAACAUUAUAUUGCCAAUUUGUCUUGUUUUUUUUUAACUUGUACAAUACAUACGUUUAUAACUUGGAGGAUGAAGUAGAUGUAAGAGUUUAGGAUGUUUAUAAAAAUUAAGCAAAAGCAUAAAAAUCUAGAUUUUUAUUGUGAUGUUUAUAUUAACUUUAUCAUGAUAUGUUAAUAAUAUAGUUAUACAUUAUAAUGGUGACUCCAUUAUAAUCACCUCAUAACACCAUUUAAUCUUUUAAGAUAUUUUUAUAACCUUCAGGUUUAGUUCAUCUAUACCAGAAUAUCUAUCAUUCAUUUUCAUUCAAACUUGUAAUAUGUAUAAUAAAAUGUUUGUUUCUUUGGAUAAGAAUUCAAAGUGAAAAAUCAAUAAAUAACUUGAGACAGAAAUUGUGAAUAACGUUGUUUUUUCAUUUGUUAUGCUUUAAACAAUAAAAAGAGUUAUAAUAUAUUUUAGAUAAAUUAAUGUUAAAAAUUUGUAAUUUCUUUUAGAUUUGAUAUGUACUAUCAUUUUAAUAUUACGCUUUGAUUGUUAGGUUAAAUAUGUCAAAAGAAAGUGAGUUUAUUUCUUUCACAAACAAAAUUUGAAGAUGCAGACAAAGGAAAUGUGGCAACAAAAGUAGAACACAUUUAUUUCACAAGUAAACAUUGAUCAAAUCUCUCAUACAAUAUGAUGUGAUAAGAUUCUUGAUUUACAUUGAAAUUAAACAAAAACAAGUGCAUAGAACAUUCUCCACUUAUUUAUUUUGCUACAAUUCUCAUGACUUCUUUUUCCCCAUUAUAUUAAGACCACCUCACAAGCCAUUCAAGCUUUCCUAUAAUACAAAAGUCUGAGGCCAAUUCCAAAUAUCAUUCCACAUCCAUAUCCUAUAACCACUGGUUCCCAUCCAAAUCCAAAUCUCUCUUCUCCCAAUAAGCUCGGAGAAGAUGGAGGGUUUUGUUCAGUGUUGUUGCAAUUCAUUGACAAUGGAAACCCACAUAAUCCCGAGUUUCCUAGGUAGGAGUCAUUUGAAAAAGUCGCAAACUGUUUUCCUUUAGGUAUUUCUCCCACAAGCUGGUUAUUGGAAAGAUUCAAGACUGCUAGAAAGUUCAUAUUGGUUAAUUCUGUUGGAAUCCUACCAGUGAACAUAUUUGAAGAGAGAUCCAAUGAUUCUAAGUUUGUCAAAUAUCCAAUGGAUUUGGGAAUAAGACCACUUAAUCUGUUAUGGGAAAAAUUGAGUCCUCUAAGAGCGUGAAGCUCUCCAAUUACAUAUGGAAUUUGUCCUUCAAAUUUGUUUUGAGAUAAAUCAAUGGUAAAAAAGUUUCUUGGAAUUUUGUGGAGUGUCAUACUUAUCGCUUUUGUUGUUACAGUUACAGAUUCAUACAUAUAUUCAGUUAUAUAUAGAAUCAUAACAUUUAGGGAUGCACUGACUUGAGUAAGUGGUGUGUUCAUGUAGAACUCGCUCCCUUUAUAUUUAAUGACAUUCUUCAUGGCUUUAAAAUUUUGUAUAUAGGUUUUUGGUAUUGGACCAUUGAAAUAGUUGGAUGAGAUAUCAAAAAUAACAAUACUUGAAAACCCAUACUUUGUCUUUAAAUUGGCAAUGGGACCAUAGAAUUUGUUGGCUCGCAAUACCAAUAUUGUCAACUCUGGUAGAGUUUGAACCCAAUGGGGAAAUUUAUCCUCAAUUUGAUUGUUGCCAACAUCCAAGAUCUUCAGUUUUAUGCAAUUAGACAAAGAUUCUGGCAAAAGACCUUCCAAUUGGUUGUUAUUGAGAUUCAAAAUAGUGAGAUAACUAUUCAUUGAAAAGGUAGUUGGUAAAGUGCCAUUUAGUGUGUUAUUUUUUAGAUCCAAAACAAAAAGGAAUUGCAAGUUUACAAGGCAUGAUGGAAUGACGCCUGUCAACUUAUUGUGUGACAAGCUGAGAAUGAUAAGAUUACUUAUUUUACAAAUUGAGGAAGACAUGUCGUCAAUGAGUAAAUUGAAACUAAUAUCAAGGAACCUGAGAUUGUAGUUCCUCGAGAAUUGGUUCAUUGGAGUUGUCAACAAGUUGUGGGAUAGGUUCAGAACUUUUAAUGAAUCGAUUUUAUGUAACCACUCGGGCACUGCUCCAUUCAAUUUGUUGUCAGAUAGAUCGAGCUUUGUUAGCAUUGGGAAUUUUCCUAAUAAUUUUGGAAAUUUAGUUAAACCCACAGAAGAUAAAUACAAUCUCUCUAAGCGAGGGGUGUUGGUGAAGAAUGAAGAGUUAUGAAAAUUACUGAAGUUGUUUGAUGAUAGACAUAAGUGAGUUAGGUUUACAAGGGUGAAGACUGAUUGUGGAAUAUAUCCAUGUAGCUUGUUGUAGCACAAAUAUAAAGACUCCAAGGAUUGAGAUGAGAUUGAAGGUAUAUGUCCAGUGAACUGAUUAUCUGAUAGAUCCAGUUCUUUCAAAAAUGGCAAAGAUAAACACCAAGCAGGAAUUGUCCCAUUUAGUAAGUUAUCAUUGAAGGAUAAAAAAGUUAGGUUUGAAAGCCCUGUUAUUUUGUUGGGUAGAGGACCCUCCAAUCUAUUCUCUGAAAGAUCCAAGUGAAGAAGAUGUUGAAGAUUUGAAAGUGAGGAUGGAAUUUGGCCAUAGAAUUGAUUGUAUCGAAGAUCCAAAACAGUUAAAUAUGGAAGGGUUAAGAUUGAGGAUGAGAUUGAAUCUUUGAGAUAGUUACUUGAGAGAUUGAGGGAAGUAAGAUGUGUGAAGUUGGAGAAAGAGGCAGGGAUUGUCCCCUCCAACAUGUUCCAUGAAAGAUCCAACAUAGUGAGAGAAGCAGCACUGCAACUCAAGUUCGGAAAAUACUCAACACUAUUCUCUGACAAGCAUAAGUGUUUAAGUUUUGGUAAACAAAAGAUGUCAGUUUUCAAAUUUUGUCGAACUCCAGUGCCUCUAAGACUAAGACUAACCAAAGAGGUAGACAAAUUGAGCUGACUCAUCGAACUAGAAGUCAUAUUUACCUUAUCCAAAAUAAGCUCCCUUAAAACUGUUGUAUUUUGGAGGAACUUCUUCCAAUUGCUCUCUUCCCACGUUAACAAAGUAUCAGAGAGAUCAAGUGAUUCUAAUUUGGAAAGUUGUGAGAUCUGGGAAGGAAUUUCACCUCGAAAGAGAAAAUCACCAGACAAAUUGAGGUGUGUGAGGCUCACAAACCCACCAAAAGGAAAUGAUAAUUGAGAGGAGAAAUAAUUGAAAGCAAGAUUAAGUGAUUGAAGAUGAGAAAGACGAAAAAGUGAAGUGUUUGGAAUGAUUUCACCUAAAAGACCACUGCAGGUGAGGUCAAGGCCUAUGACGUGACCAGAGAUGGGGUGGCAAGUAACCCCAGACCAUGAGCAACAAUCUGUUCCAUUUUCCCAUGUUCUGGUCUUUGGAACAAGAUUAUCACAACGGAAAUGAUAAUUGUUAUCACUGAAAGAGGUCUUGAAUUGGAGCAAGGCAGUUUUCUCAUGAAGAUGACAUAAGGAAUGGGAGGAUGAGAAGUGAAAGAGCAACAAAUGACAACACAGAAAAAGCAACCACCCCACCCAUGACUCCAUUUGAAGCUGUGUUUAAGGAAAAG
rnacentral:lncRNA from 1 species